UGGGGAAUAUUGCACAAUGGGCGGAAGCCUGAUGCAGCGACGCCGCGUGGGGGAUGAAGGCCUUCGGGUUGUAAACUCCUUUCGACAGGGACGAAGCUUUUGUGACGGUACCUGUAUAAGAAGCACCGGCUAACUACGUGCCAGCAGCCGCGGUCAUACGUAGGGUGCGAGCGUUGUCCGGAAUUACUGGGCGUAAAGAGCUCGUAGGUGGUUUGUCGCGUCGUCUGUGAAAUUCCGGGGCUUAACUCCGGGCGUGCAGGCGAUACGGGCUGACUUGAGUGCUGUAGGGGAGACUGGAAUUCCUGGUGUAGCGGUGAAAUGCGCAGAUAUCAGGAGGAACACCGAUGGCGAAGGCAGGUCUCUGGGCAGUAACUGACGCUGAGGAGCGAAAGCAUGGGUAGCGAACAGG
rnacentral:rRNA from 1 species